rnacentral:rRNA from 1 species
GACGAACGCUGGCGGCGUGCUUAACACAUGCAAGUCGAACGAAGUGGCGAACGGGUGAGUAACGCGUAAUCAACCUGCCCUUCAGAGGGGGACAACAGUUGGAAACGACUGCUAAUACCGCAUACGGAAGGAGGGGAUUGCGUCUGAUUAGCUAGUUGGGGGGGUAACGGCCCACCAAGGGGAUCAUCAGUAGCCGGGCUGUGAGGAUGAACGGGCACAUUGGGACUGAGGCACGGCCCCGACUCCUACGGGGGGCAGGAGUGGGGAAACUUCCGCAAUUGGCGAAAGUCUGACGGAGCAACGCCGCGGGAGUGAUGACGGCCUUCGGGUUGUAAAGCUCUGUUAAUCGGGACGCGGUACCGGAAUAGAAAGCCACGGCUAACUACGUGCCAGCAGCCGCGGUAAUUC